UACGUAGGCAGCAAACGUUGUUCGGAGUUACUGGGCGUAAAGAGUACGUAGCGGUUUGCCAAGUUUGGUGUGAAAUCUCCUGGCUUAACUGGGAGGGUGCGCCGAAUACUGGCGGGCUUGAGUAUUGGAGAGGAAAGCGGAAUUCCUGGUGUAGCGGUGAAAUGCGUAGAUAUCAGGAGGAACACCGGUGGUGUAGACGGCUUUGCUGGACAAUCACUGACGCUGAGGUACGAAAGCGUGGGUAGCAAACAGG
rnacentral:rRNA from 1 species